rnacentral:tRNA from 1 species
ACCACGAUAGCUUAAUCGGUAGAGUUUUGCGCUUCGAACGCAACGGUGUGGGUUCAAGUCCCCCUCGUGGUA